GGAGCCGGGCCUCUGCAGGGUGGCGGUGGCGUACAGCUCCUGGGAGUGCUUGCUGUACUGCUCGGCAGCGUGAACCAGCCGCUUGGUGGGCGACAGAGUGGCAAGCCCCAAAGUCCUUGGGGGAAGAACACAUGCUGUUCUAGGGACGGCCAAGAGGCUCCGGAGGAGCUCCCUCUGGCUGUUGGUGGCAGGGAAGCCACCAGCACUCAAUGCACUCGGCAUUGCAAGGCAGCCAAGCUGCUGGAUUCAGGAGGCUUCCCACACACAGGACAUCUCUGUAUCCUUCCGGGGAAGAAGAUGUAGUGGCGGACACAAGAAUUAAAUGCUUAAUUAAAAACCCAGUGCGUAGCACUUUAUGAAAAGCCAAGCAUUUGCUCCGUGUGAAGGAGAGAACUUUGGAUGAACAGAUUGCAAGGAAAUGUUAGCAUGCAGUAAUUUUGGAGAUGUGACUAAUCUCAGACCUGUCUUGCAUUUAUUGUGAGGUUCUUAUUUUGUCCAAAGGAUCAAAUACAUUUGCAUCCUCCAGUCGCGUUUUCAGAGGCAAAAUGGAUUUUAGUUUUAGGUUUCUCCCUGCCUGUAGCUUAAGACAGCAAAACAGAUACGUCAUUGUUCAUCCUGCGAUCCAACAUUACACUUCAUCCGGAAGAAUGAAAUACAAUGGUAUUUGUUCCAUUAUUUUUCUAUUUAUCCAUUAUUGUUGUCAACCUGAUAAUGAAACUGUGCUUAAACUAAUAAAUUGAGAGCAAAUUUGCUUUCCAGUUGUUCUAUCCUCAUGCAUCAAUCUAUUUCAUAGACAUGAAAAACAAAAAUCAAGGACUUCUUUCUUACAGCCCUGCAGAUAUCUCUU